rnacentral:rRNA from 1 species
CGCCCGCCGGCGCCCGCGCCCGUCCCGCCGCCCCCGCCCGCCUACGGGAGGCAGCAGUGGGGAAUUUUGGACAAUGGGCGCAAGCCUGAUCCAGCAAUGCCGCGUGAGUGAAGAAGGCCUUCGGGUUGUAAAGCUCUUUUGUCAGGGAAGAAACGGCGGAGGCUAAUAUCCUCUGCUAAUGACGGUACCUGAAGAAUAAGCACCGGCUAACUACGUGCCAGCAGCCGCGGUAAUACGUAGGGUGCAAGCGUUAAUCGGAAUUACUGGGCGUAAAGCGUGCGCAGGCGGUUUUGUAAGUCUGUCGUGAAAUCCCCGGGCUCAACCUGGGAACUGCGCUUGUGACUGGAAGGCUAGAGUACGGCAGAGGGGGGUGGAAUUCCACGUGUAGCAGUGAAAUGCGUAGAUAUGCGGAGGAACACCGAUGGCGAAGGCAAUCCCCUGGGCCUGUACUGACGCUCAUGCACGAAAGCGUGGGGAGCAAACAGGAUUAGAUACCCUGGUAGUCCACGCCCUAAACGAUGUCAACUGGUUGUUGGGUCUUUACUGACUCAGUAACGAAGCUAACGCGUGAAGUUGACCGCCUGG